rnacentral:rRNA from 1 species
UACGGAGGGUGCAAGCGUUAUCCGGAUUUACUGGGUUUAAAGGGUGCGUAGGUGGGUCUGUAAGUCAGUGGUGAAAUCUCCGGGCUUAACCCGGAAACUGCCAUUGAUACUAUAGGUCUUGAAUAUCCUGGAGGUGAGCGGAAUACGUCAUGUAGCGGUGAAAUGCUUAGAUAUGACAUAGAACACCAAUUGCGAAGGCAGCUCACUACGGGAUUAUUGACACUGAGGCACGAAAGCGUGGGGAUCAAACAGG